UAUCUAUAUCUCUGUGUGUAUCUAUAUCUCUAAUUUAUAUAUCAAUGUAAACCAUCCCACUGCCGCUAUCCUUUGAAACUUAUCUCUAAUUCCACUAAAUCAUAAAACCCAUAAAUUACUCUAAUUGAGUUUGAGAUGGGGUUAUGCGAUGGUGGUGGUCGAACUGCAGAUUCCCAGAAAUCUACAUAAUAGCAUGCGGUGGUGGUGGUCGAUUUGCAGAUUCCCAAAAACUUAAAAAAAUAACAAAAAGAAAACAACAACUUCUCUAUUCAAAUCAAUAACUAUUUCUGAUCAAAUCAAGAUUCCGGCAAGAAGUUGAGUUUUCCAGCAAGGUUCAAAUCGAAUAAUUUUUGCCUAAGGUUUGUUCGCGAUCAAGUGUUGAGUCGUUUGGUGGUGGAUUCAGGUCUUAACUCGAAGAAACAACAAAGAUAUCAUCAUUUUAAUCUUUCCGGCGAACUUAAAAACAGUUUUUGUUGGUUAGGGAUUGUUCUCGGUGUUAUUUAGAGUAUAUCGGUGGUGGUGUUUCGUCUUCUAAUUCGAAGAAACGAGAGAGUAAUUGCAAUUUUCAGUUUUCUGGCGAGAUUCCAUUUUUCCGGCGACAAUAAAACAGAAUACAAUUGCCAAGGAUUUGUUCGGUCUCUGAUUUAGAAUGUUUUGGUGCUAAUUUUGAGUUGUAACUCGCUGAAACGAAGGAGAAAUCGAUCUUCAAGUUUACCGGCGAAGGUGUUCACCUAUUCAUUUUCAUUGGAUAUUCCUGCAUUCAUGCACAGCAAUCGACAACGUUUCAUACUUUGAAAUUGCUUCGUAAGUUUGUUGGUACUAAACAAUCAAUUCUAAAGUCAUAACUUGUUUUAGGUGUAUUUGUGCUAAAUUUUCAAUACAUAUGGGUUAGAUUUGAAGUGGUUGAUUGGUUCACUUUAUAGCUGAAUUAGAAAUAUAUGCCGAAUUUAAUUAUACUUCAAGUUCAAUGAUUUGCUUACAUA